rnacentral:rRNA from 1 species
GACGAACGCUGGCGGCGUGCUUAACACAUGCAAGUCGAGCGGUAAGGCCCUUUCGGGGGUACACGAGCGGCGAACGGGUGAGUAACACGUGGGUGACCUGCCCUCAGCUCUGGGAUAAGCCUGGGAAACUGGGUCUAAUACUGGAUAUGACUCCACGGUGCAUGUCGUGGGGUGGAAAGCCUUGUGCGGCUGAGGAUGGGCCCGCGGCCUAUCAGCUUGUUGGUGGGGUGAGGCCUACCAAGGCGACGACGGGUAGCCGGCCUGAGAGGGCGACCGGCCACACUGGGACUGAGACACGGCCCAGACUCCUACGGGAGGCAGCAGUGGGGAAUAUUGGACAAUGGGCGCAAGCCUGAUCCAGCGAUGCCGCGUGUGUGAA